rnacentral:rRNA from 1 species
CUCUAUAACCAUACCACCCUGAAUGUGUCUGAUCUCAUCUGAUCUUGGAAGACAAGCACGGUCAGUCCUGGUUAGUAGCUGGAUGUAGGGCUGCCUGGGAGAGAGA